CUUCUGACCUUUAUUUAAAGAAGGGACAACAAGCGCCUUGACUUCGUUCCCUUUCCUCCUUAGGGAAGACAUUCUUCCAAGUAUCAAGAAAGGGAGCCCUUGCUUCCCUGAAAAACAUUUCGUCCCAGCAAUCCCUCUCCAGUUCCAUGUGACCAUUCCUAUUCUGAGCCAGUUUUGGAACGGAAGUCAUCUCACAUGCCACCUUGCAAGGCAGAGAAACACAGAUAAUCAGGGAAGACAUUCUUCCAAGUAUCAAGAAAGGGAGCCCUUGCUUCCCUGGAAGAUAUUUCGUCCCAGCAAUCCCUCUCCAGUUCCAUGUGACCAUUCCUACUCUGAGCCCGUUUUGGAAAAAAAGGUAAGUGGUUGGAUAAGGUUAGGUGAUAUCCAAGUAGAGCUAGCCGUAUUCUGUCUAGGACUGGGUCAAUGAUGACAACCCAAUGUCAUGAAGAGAGGUGAUGACAUAAAAUUCAUGAUCAAUAGGAUUACGCUGAGGCUCAACCAGGGCGACAGGGUCACAAGAGGUCCGGUGACUCCUUGGGGUGCUCUUGGGUGACUUCCCUGAAGUCCUCAGAUGCCCUUGC
rnacentral:lncRNA from 1 species